rnacentral:rRNA from 1 species
ACGUCUUUUUCGAGCGUUAAUCGGAAUUAUUGGGCGCAAAGCGUGCGCAGGCGGGUCGCUAAGACAGGUGUGAAAUCCCCGGGCUUAACCUGGGAAUGGCGCUUGUGACUGGCGGGCUGGAGUACGGCAGAGGGGGGUGGAAUUCCACGUGUAGCAGUGAAAUGCGUAGAGAUGUGGAGGAACACCGAUGGCGAAGGCAGCCCCCUGGGCCGAUACUGACGCUCAUGCGCGAAAGCGUGGGGAGCAAACAG